rnacentral:rRNA from 1 species
UACGGAGGGUGCAAGCGUUGUUCGGAUUGAUUGGGCGUAAAGCGCACGUAGGCGGGUUCAUAAGUCGGAUGUGAAAGCCCUGGGCUUAACCUGGGAUGUGCAUCCGAAACUGUGAAUCUUGAAUAACCGAGAGGUUGGCGGAAUUCCUGGUGUAGGAGUGAAAUCCGUAGAUAUCAGGAGGAACACCGGAGGCGAAGGCGGCCAACUGGAGGAUUAUUGACGCUGAGGUGCGAAAGCGUGGGGAGCAAACAGG